rnacentral:lncRNA from 7 species
GAGGAACAUGGUCUUGGAUGUGUGCAUGCAGCUAGGCAUUUAGGUGAUGUGGGUCCAAACACUUUGCAGAAUGCAAGAGGGGAGACUGAAGAAGCAUUUUUUGCUGCUAGAACUCUGCGCGUUCUGGCGAAUCACAGUUUGACAUCAUCAUCACUGGAGGUGUCUUGGGAUGGUUAAAGAGAUUAGAAAUAAUGUAAUGCCCAAACUGACACGUUAGGCUUUGCACCCUGAUAAAGUGGGAGCUUUCCUUCAUGCAGAACUGCAGGAGCAGUGCCAAGCUGUCAAGCCCCCAGAACCCAUUGUUUUCUCAUGGACAGACUGCGCAACGUGUGGGAAGAAAAUGGAAAAGCAGAAGUGGAACUUUUCUCCAACUACUGUCUACUUGCUCCAACUCUCAAUAGGCCAUGAGAAAAGGGAACAUCAGAACACCUCUGAACCUGAUUUCCUUGAGGGUAGAGGUUGCCUGAUUGUUCCAAAAUGUGAAGAAUAUGGAAGAGGCUUAAAGUUUCCCAUAUGUCUUCAUCUGUGUUCCUGCAUUCAGCUGCACUGCCAACUCUGGAGCACAGCAUUGCUGUUCUGAGUCAUGGCAUCUGGAGAAUGGGAAAAUCCUAUUCAAGAGCCUCAUAUUUCUCUCUGCUGCCUGGGUCCCAGACACUAGAUGUUAUUAUUCAGCAUCCUCGUAUCCCCCAGUUUUCAAUUCCUAGCUUUGAUUCUGUGGACACAGCAGUGUAGAGUGUGAUAAAAAUUCAGGAAAAUCUUUGUAGUUAGAGAGGAAAAGUCCUCUGAUGCCCACAAAAAGAUACUUAGAAUCAAACAUAUCUUUUGUUUUGUUUUGUUUUUGGAGAAGUUAUAGUCUAAAAGUAAUGCUGCUGUAUGAAAGCAAGAUAGUUGCUGUACUAAGGUCUUACCCAAUAUUUCUUUAUCUUCUCAGCUGAAACAGUCUCAGCUUUCU